rnacentral:rRNA from 1 species
GAUGAACGCUAGCGGCAGGCCUAAUACAUGCAAGUCGGACGGGAUUUGGGAGCUUGCUUCCAAUGAGAGUGGCGCACGGGUGCGUAACACGUAUGUAACCUACCUUAAUCAGGGGGAUAGCCUCUCGAAAGAGAGAUUAACACCGCAUAAUAUAUUUUUAUGGCAUCGUAGAAAUAUCAAAUAUUUAUAGGAUUAAGAUGGGCAUGCGGAACAUUAGCUAGUUGGUAAGGUAACGGCUUACCAAGGCUACGAUGUUUAGGGGAUCUGAGAGGAUGACCCCCCAUACUGGUACUGAGACACGGACCAGACUCCUACGGGAGGCAGCAGUAAGGAAUAUUGGUCAAUGGGCGCAAGCCUGAACCAGCCAUGCCGCGUGCAGGAAGACGGCCCUAUGGGUUGUAAACUGCUUUUGUACCGGAAUAAACCCUUUUACGAGUAAAAGGCUGAAUGUACGGUAAGAAUAAGGAUCGGCUAACUCCGUGCCAGCAGCCGCCGUAAAAC